GAUCCUGGCUCAAGACGAACGCUGGCGGCAUGCCUAACACAUGCAAGUCGAACGGGGAUACAAGAGCUUGCUUUUGUAUCUUAGUGGCGGACGGGCGAGUAACGCGUGAGCAACCUGCCCUUCAGUGGGGAAUAACGUCUGGAAACGGACGCUAAUACCGCAUAACACAACGAAGCCGCAUGACUUUGUUGUCAAAGGAUUUAUUCGCUGAAGGAUGGGCUCGCGUCCGAUUAGCUAGAUGGGG
rnacentral:rRNA from 1 species